AAGGAAUGAGCCUACGCUUGAUUAGGUUCGUUGUCUGUUCAUCACUAUUCGUGUUACCUGUCAGCGAUUUGUGUGAUUUCUCUGCAAACUGAAGGAAAAGGUAUUCGCAGUGACCUGUAAUGGUGACACUCAUGGCCCACGUGAUUGGCCUGGGCCUGUUGGUUAUCGGACAGUCCAACGCCAUCUAUAUGGACGCUACACUGACAAACGCGGACUUCCAGCGCAUAUUCAUGUUUGAUAGACAACCCGAAUGCAGUUUGAAGAGGUUGACCGGAUAUAACAAUAGUUUAAAACAGCUAUUGUACCUGUCUGCCAAAUGGAAAGAGAUAUCAAAUGGCAGCCCCUUUUCAUCGCGCAUGCGUGGAUUUACGCGUGUUCGAAAGACCAACAGAAGACAAAGUUCAACAAGAUUAAUGAAGCGGAUACCACUUAUAGGCACCGGAACAAGAGAUUACGCAUGUGAUACCACACGUCUAACAAUACAGACCAUCAUAGAAUAUGUACACAGGGGCACCAUAUGUGGAUUCCAAGUCGGCGGUAUACGUUUUGGAUUAGGAAAAUGAUAUCUUAGACCGCAGCAAUUGAUUGAUUUUUCUUGACCAACGCUGGAUUAUGUUGACAUUUGAAAUGGGAAUUAACAGAAAGACUGCAAUUUGCCAAAAUGAUAUGGUCAUUAUACUGUGUACAAGUUAAGGAAACUAUAUUCCUACUCUUCAGACUAUAUUUAUCCAAAAAUACACAUUCUCAGUAUAUUUCUCCAACAAAAAAAAACAAGUUGUAAGUGGACAGCUAGAAAAGAAAUAUUCCAAGGCACACAGGCUGUUUCAGCGUAAGUGAACAGACAAGCUAAAAUUAUCCCAAUUCUUUAGAUUUCAGAGGUAUAUGUAUAUUUGAGUUGUGAGUGUAAAGAUUGUACACAACUUUUUCGAGGUCUUGCUAUUUCGACUAGCACUAUCCACAGGAAAGUAAUUUCGUUGGGUACAUGUGUGUUACAAAGAUAUUGGGUUAUUUUGUAAUGAAUGUCCUACACCAUUCAUUUUGUGAACAUUGUAUACACUUAUUGGAGUUCAUUGUUAUAUAUAUAUCAAUUUCUACUCAAGUUGGACUCAAUGUAACUACCAAAUGUAACCUGUUUCAU